GCUUUGCUUGGUGGUGAGAGUGGCGAUCGGGUGAGUAAUGCGUGACCGACCUGCCCCAUACACCGGAAUAGCUCCUGGAAACGGGUGGUAAUGCCGGAUGCUCCAGUUGAUCGCAUGGUCUUCUGGGAAAGCUUUCGCGGUAUGGGAUGGGGUCGCGUCCUAUCAGCUUGACGGCGGGGUAACGGCCCACCGUGGCUUCGACGGGUAGCCGGCCUGAGAGGGCGACCGGCCACAUUGGGACUGAGAUACGGCCCAGACUCCUACGGGAGGCAGCAGUGGGGAAUAUUGCACAAUGGGCGCAAGCCUGAUGCAGCGACGCCGCGUGAGGGAUGGAGGCCUUCGGGUUGUAAACCUCUUUUAUCGGGGAGCAAGCGAGAGUGAGUUUACCCGUUGAAUAAGCACCGGCUAACUACGUGCCAGCAGCCGCGGUAAUACGUAGGGUGCAAGCGUUAUCCGGAAUUAUUGGGCGUAAAGGGCUCGUAGGCGGUUCGUCGCGUCCGGUGUGAAAGUCCAUCGCUUAACGGUGG
rnacentral:rRNA from 1 species